GACGAACGCUGGCGGCGUGCUUAACACAUGCAAGUCGAACGGAAAGGCCUGCUUUCCCUUGUGGAUUGCGGGUACUCGAGUGGCGAACGGGUGAGUAACACGUGAGUGAUCUGCCCCCAACUUGGGUAUAAGCCUGGGAAACUGGGUCUAAUUCCCGAUAGGACUGCAGGGUGGUGCCUGUGGUGGAAAACGAUUUUCUAGUGGUUGGGGAUGAGCUCGCGGCCUAUCAGCUUGUUGGUGGGGUAAUGGCCUACCAAGGCGGCGACGGGUAGCCGGCCUGGGAGGGUGGACGGCCACAGUGGGACUGAGGUACGGCCCAGACUCCUACGGGAGGCAGCAGUGGGGAAUAUUGCACAAUGGGCGGAAGCCUGAUGCAGCGACGCCGCGUGGGGGAUGACGGCCUUCGGGUUGUAAACUCCUUUCGACCGCGAGGAAGCCACCUGGUUGGAAGGGUGGUGACGGUAGUGGUAGAAGAAGCACCGGCUAACUACGUG
rnacentral:rRNA from 1 species